CUGCUCCCUUAAGUCACCCAGUGUCCUGGCCUGACCUUCAUUCUCCCCUCCCCCUUGUGAGGCGGAUCUCAGCCUUCUGUCCUCUGACAAGUGUGCAGCCAGCCCCACCGUGUGCCGGGUGCUGGGACACGGAUGGGCACAGCCCUGCUGGCACAUGGUGCAUCAGCUGGCCGGGAGAUCGUCAAGAAAGACAGCACGAGAAUCAACUUGCACAAGAAUCCCUCAUGGCAGCCUGUGGGGAGACGACCUCCUCUGCUUUGUACAUUCCUGGAUCCCAAAGGCCAGCAUGGCAUGGCACCUAAGAGCUCCUCUUAGGACUACUCAUUCAUUCAACAGACAUUGAUGAGGCCAUGGAUGUCACAGAGGGCUCCAGCCCCCAUCUGCUUCCACCUGCCACAGACUCUGCACGGCCAGAAGACCCAGUCUCUCUCCUGGAGGCCCUUCCCAGCCCGCCCUGCACAGCUGGCCUCGCCCCCACCCUCCUCUUGGACCCAUGCCCAUGAGCUGCUCAUCACACAGCCCUCCCUGCCCUGGCCGAGGCUGGUGUCUCCACAGGGCUCUUUCAGGACACAGUUCACAUCUCCUUCCUGAACUUGGGAUGUGUGUAACAGGUGAAUGACAGCUGGAGUAAAGGAAGGUCUAAAUCACUGCAAAAAGCAUAUCCUCUGCUGGGAAUGAUGGCUGAGAAGGCAGGGAGCUGGGAGAGGCAGCCCUGACUGUCUGGAAGGGAUGGGGGCAGGGGAGGUGAUGUCACUGGUGGGGAGCAAAGAAAACUCCCAAGGGAAAGAGGGGCUCAUGAGAGAAGCCUGGCCACCAACCGCCUCAGUCCUGCUGGGGCUGGGGGCUGACCAGCUGACAAGUGGAACCGCCACCCCCUGGGUGACAUAGUCCUGCCUCUGCCCAGGCCUGCGUUCCCACCCUCUCUGGAGUCUGUCUCCCCACCCACCUAGGGGCAGCUGGUUAGACCUGAUCUCCCCCGUCAUGUCCCCAUCACCCCCCAAACUCACAUCCAGACUCUACCCACUCCCCAGUAGCUGGAUGUGCAUCUGGCCCCCCAGAACCCCAGGAGCCAUCAUCUUUGGGCAAUUCCCAGUUUUAUGAAUCAUGGUUGGCCUUGGGACAGCUCUGUCAUUGUUACCUUGAAGGCCUCUGUCAGCCUGAUGCUCACUCCUGUUUAAUGUUCUGUCCAUUCAUCCAUUCGCCACAUUCACCAAUGCCUGACCAUGCUGUCCUCACAUGCUGGACACUGUAGCAGGGGCUGGGGACACGCAGGAACCCAAAUAGGCCCGGCUGUACCCUCAAGGUGCCCACAGUCUGGUGGAGAGAUGAAUACUAACAAAAUACACAUCACUGGACACAGGGACCUGUGAUUCUAAGUCACGCUACUAUUAUAUGUACUGCCCAAGAAGCAAACACACCACCAGAGAAAAAAAUCAGCCACACCGGAUCUUAAGAGAUGUGGACAUGUUGGCCGGUAGAUGCGAAACGCAGUCAUAGAAAUUGUAAGCAAUCACCAACGAGCUGAGUGCUACAAAACAGAAGCGGAGGAGGGAGACAGAAGAAGGUGACCUAAUCGGGAA